UGUUGAUAAUGUGGGCAAACUCUGAGAAGACCUUUGAAUCUCUCCCAAACCUAGUACAAGUUCUCCUCAGUCAUCUGCUUGAAGCUAAGGAUUUCACGUCUCAAUUU
rfam:Capsicum annuum cultivar Zunla-1 unplaced genomic scaffold scaffold499, whole genome shotgun sequence